rnacentral:lncRNA from 1 species
GUUUUGAUGAGAAACGCUGUGGGGGAGGGGGUAUUUCAGAGAUUCAUCUCUAACUGAAGUGCUGAGAAGAGACUGUUGAGUUCCUAGCCUCGUAAGAUCGCUCUGUCAUCCCCUUUCAAGGCUGAAGGACUAUCACGGAAAAGAGGGUGGAAAGAACAUAAGAGCUAGAGGAAGAAGCUGUAUUCUGAGUAUGCUGUGUCCACAUCAUCGAGUGGGGAGUGACUGGAAUGAAGCUCUCCAUGACAGGGAAGGAAGCCAUACUAUAAAGGCUCCCACAGCACAGAAGGAAAGAAUGGAAAGUUCUGGGGCCAUCAGGAUCUCCCUUCUCUUCCAGAUCAGUUACCAGUUACCCUCAGGCAACAUACUUGUGCUAAAGGAAAGCCAUGAAGAAAAGCAGCCUUCCUUAGAGAAGAAUCAGUGUUCUCUGAUGUGAUUGGGAACUGCUCCUUAAUGGACGUGCCUACCCCACUGCAUAUGCUGUGACUCACCUCUCCCUGAGGAUUGUUCCCUACUGGGCAUGUUCCCAUCCAGCCCUCCAGGCUGGCUUUGCAUUGGUUUUCCCCACAGGUGUUCUCUUGCACUGUUAACUGCUGGCUGUUCCCCUAUAUCCAUAUCAUGAGAGAUUACACAUUUUACAGGGACUAUAUCUUUCACUCUACCAGUAGUACAACAUGCAGUAAGGAUUUGUUGUGGAGUGUGAAUGCAUUAUCUUCCUAAGCAAGAUCUUAUGUGCACUCCCUCUUCCUAAGCAAGGAUCUUAUGUGCACUCCCUCUUUUGCUGUGACUUCAUCACAAGAGUGGCUGGCAUUGCACGUACCUCAUUCCCACACGUGUGUUCACAAUUACUAUUAUUCCCCUUGGGUCUCCCCCAGAAAGUCUCUGACAGACACUGUGUUGAUUACAGGUUCUUAUAACUAAUUCUGUAAUUCUCCUUUAUUUGGUCAAUCCUCGCCCAUCCCUGUGCACCCAUCCAACAAAUACCCACUUACCCAAUUUCAAGUCUAUGAGAAAUGUAUCGGGGCUCACUGUGCUUGUAGGACUCUACACUUACACAGGCAUUAUCUUUCUCUUUUUCCCUCUUUCCCAUGUUUAUCACUUUAACCUUAUCCUCUAAUGACCUGGAGCUUUACUCUGGCUACACCUCCAGCCAAACCCACAUAUCCGAGUCUUUCUUUCAAAGCCCUUUCUGGCUGUCUUCACAAUUCCCUCUGUCCUGGCCUUCACUUUCCAGACCAGCUACAUUUGUUGUUGUAUGGCUCCUUUUGCCCUGGGUUCUUCCUCUCCUGGCUCUGGGCUUUUACUCAGUCUCUUCCAUAUCUCUGGAACAACAACCUAACCACAGCCUUCUCCUCUGAAUCAUGCUCAAGGUCCAGCUGCUUCAAGACGUUUUUCCCUCCCAUCUUCCAAUCCAUCACAUCAUCACCGACCCAGCCUUGUACCACAGGACAGCCUUGAAAUGACUGGACUUAUAAAUAUGGGGUGACUGUAGUUCAAUUUCUGGCUUACGUCAAUACUAAAAGCCUAAUCUCAGAAUUAA